UACGAACUGUGCAAGCGUUAUUCGGAAUCACUGGGCUUAAAGGGUGCGUAGGCGGCUUGUUAAGUAGGGUGUGAAAUCCCCCGGCUCAACCGGGGAAUUGCGCCCUAAACUGGCGAGCUGGAGUGAGAUAGGGGUGUGUGGAACUUCCAGUGGAGCGGUGAAAUGUGUUGAUAUUGGAAGGAACGCCAGUGGCGAAAGCGACACACUGGGUCUCAACUGACGCUGAGGCACGAAAGCCAGGGGAGCAAACGGG
rnacentral:rRNA from 1 species